UUUCCGUAGGUGAACCCGCGGAAGGAUCAUUAUUGUAUAACCGAGGUGCGAGGGCUGUCGCUGACCCGAAAGGUCGUGCACGCCCGAGUGCCCUCACACACAUCCAUCUCACCCCUAUAUGCACCACCGCGGGGGUCCCCCUUUGGCUUGUUCGGAGGGGGGCUUACGUUUUCACACAAACUUUGUAUGCAGUGUAGAAUGUAUUUUUUGUUUUUGCGAUCACGCAAUCAAUACAACUUUCAACAACGGAUCUCUUGGCUCUC
rnacentral:misc_RNA from 1 species